GCACUAAAGAAGUAGAAAGCUCCACCACAAAUGCACCAUCAUCAAAGCCAGCUAAAUCUAAUAGUGAAGUGGUGCAAAGGAAAGCAAAGGAGAAGGUUAACAACAUUCUCGUGUUUGAUAAAGAUGGGAUUUAAUUUGUGAUUUUGUGUUUUCAAUGACUUGGGAACUCAUGGAACAAAUGUUAUUAUCUACAAUCUUUGGUUCACCGACGAUGGGGAAAUGAAGCUCAAUUUUGAAUCAUAUGUAAAGGAUAUCCAACUAGCUGGAGCCCCAGAAAUGUCCAAGAAAGCUAAUUUACAAGCUCUAUGCCAAUAACAUCUGACCAACAAGCUUCACUAUUCUCUUCGUGUACAUGACACAUGUCUGUUCACUUCUUCUAAACACAACCGCUUUUGGAUGUUGUCAGUCAGAAUGAGGUGUAGCAGGUACUUUGGAGGUUAAUUUUAUUCAACCAACUCAUAACAAGCAAAAUUUUGGGAGGACUACAAUUUUUCAAAGGCUUGAAACCCGCUUGAAAGAAAUGACACUGGAGUAUUGGUAAGCCAUUUGUAACAUCUUUGAGAUUGCAGUAGUUUACUAGCAUACUGAAUCAUUGUGAGUUGUGCAUAUAAGCAUUAUGGCAUAAGUGUGUUCUCUCUGGAAUUUCCACAGGGCUAAGAAGUCUGAAUUAAUUGGGUGCCAACA